rnacentral:rRNA from 1 species
GACGAACGCUGGCGGCGUGCCUAAUACAUGCAAGUCGAACGCUGAAGGCGGAGCUUGCUCUUCUGGAUGAGUUGCGAACGGGUGAGUAACGCGUAGGUAACCUGCCUGGUAGCGGGGGAUAACUAUUGGAAACGAUAGCUAAUACCGCAUAACAGUAGAUGUUGCAUGACAUUUACUUAAAAGUUGCAAUUGCAUCACUACCAGAUGGAGCUGCGUUGUAUUAGCUUGUUGGUGGGGUAACGGCGCACCAAGGCGACGAUCCAUAUCCGACCUGUGAGGGGGAGCGGCCAGACUGGGACGGAGACAGGCCCCAGACGCCUACGGGAGGCAGCAGGAGGGAAUCGUGGGCAAUGGGCGGAAGUCAGAGCGAGCAACGCCGCGUGAGUGAAGAAGGUUUUCGGAUCGUAAAGCACGGUUGUAAGAGAAGAACGAGUGUGAGAGUGGAAAGUUCACACUGUGACGGUAUCUGACCAGAAAGGGACGGCUAACUACGUG